rnacentral:rRNA from 1 species
AUUGAACGCUGGCGGCAGGCCUAACACAUGCAAGUCGAACGGUAACAGGAAGCAGCUUGCUGCUUCGCUGACGAGUGGCGGACGGGUGAGUAAUGUCUGGGAAGCUGCCUGAUGGAGGGGGAUAACUACUGGAAACGGUAGCUAAUACCGCAUAAUGUCGCAAGACCAAAGAGGGGGACCUUCGGGCCUCUUGCCAUCGGAUGUGCCCAGAUGGGAUUAGCUUGUUGGUGGGGUAACGGCUCACCAAGGCGACGAUCCCUAGCUGGUCUGAGAGGAUGACCGGGCACACUGGAAGUGAGACAGGGUCCAGACGCCUACGGGAGGCAGCAGUGGGGGAUAGUGCGCAAUGGGGGGAAGCGUGAUGCAGCGAGGCGGCGUGUAUGAAGGAGGGCUUCGGGUGGUAGAGUGCUUGCAGGGGGGAGGAGGGGAGUGGGGUGAAUGCGUGGGCGGAUUGACGUUGCCCGCAGAAGAAGCACCGGCUAACUCCGUG